UACGGAGGAUGCGAGCGUUAUCCGGAUUUAUUGGGUUUAAAGGUGCGCAGGCGGAGGCACAAGUCAGCGGUAAAAUCGCGGGGCUCAACCCCGCUCCGCCGUUGAAACUGUGUCCCUUGAGUGCGCGAAGGGUAGGCGGAAUGCGUGGUGUAGCGGUGAAAUGCAUAGAUAUCACGCAGAACUCCGAUCGCGAAGGCAGCCUACCGGCGCGCUACUGACGCUCAUGCACGAAAGCGUGGGUAUCGAACAGG
rnacentral:rRNA from 1 species